rnacentral:lncRNA from 10 species
CCCCGUUUUCCACCCCCGCCAGCAACGCCCGCGACUCCAGGCGCGCGGCAUUUUCAUCAGCACCUGGCAGUGGUGAUUCAUAAUGCUUUCAAUGUUAAUUUCCCUCAUGACUAGUGAUGUUAAACAUCUUAGGUAUUAUUUCAUGGGUUAUUUCCAAUCUUUUACCUACUUUUUAGUGGAUUAUAUUUGUCUUCUUAGUAUUGAGUUAUAAGAGUUAAAUAUUGUGGGUACAAGUCCCCUGUCAGAAAUGUGUUUUGUAAAUAAUUUCUUCUAGUCUGUGGUUUGUCUCUUCAUUUUCUUAAGUAUGUCUUUAAAGAGCAGAGGCUUUUGAUUUGGAUAAAGUUCAGUUUGUCAGUUUUUUCUUUUAGGGUUAUGUUUUUGUAUCCUAUCUAAGAAUCUUUGACUAUCAAAUUCUCACAAAGCAGUUUUUUGUUUUCUUCUAGAUGUUUUACGGUUUUAAAUUUUACCUUCAGGUCUACAACCAUUGUGAUUUAGAUUUUGUAUUUAAUGUAAGGUAUAAGUUGAGAUUCAUUUCUCUCUGUUUUUGGAGACUUAUGUCCAGCUAUUCCAGAACCAUUUGUUGGAAAGAGUAUCUUUAUCCCAUCAAGUUAUGUGGGCACUUUGUUGAAAAAGAUCUAUUGACCAUAUAUACAUGCGUUUAUUUCCAAGACUCUAUUUUGUUUUGUUGACUGACUUGUUUGUCCUUAUGACAAUAUCACACUGUUUUGAUUACAGUGGCAUUAUUGUACCUCUUGCAAAAAUCAAGUGUGAAUCUUCCAAAGAAGAUUUGGAAGAUUUUCUCUUUCAAAGUUGUGUGAGUUAUUUAAGUGCCUUUUAAUUUUCAUAUAAGUUUAGAAUUAGCUUGCAGUUUCUAAAAGAAAAAAAAAGUCUGAUGAGACUUUGAUUGUGAUUCCAUUGGAUCUAUAGCUCAGUUUGCAGGGAUUUACAUCUUAACAAUACUGAGUCCUCAAAUCCAUGAACAUGGUACAUCUCUCCAUUUAUUUAGGUCUUCUUGUAUUUUUUCUCAUCAACAUCUUAUAGUUUUAAGUAAACAAAUUUUGCACAUAUUUUGUAAGAUUUAUCAUUAAGUAUUUCAUGUUUGUGAUGUUAUGGUGAAUAUUGUUUUUAAAUUCAAUUUCCUAUUGUCCACUGCUAGUAUAUGGAAAUACAAUUGGUUUUCAUACAUUAACCUUAUGUCCAGCAACUUUGCUAAAUGUAUAAGCUCUUACACAUUUUCUGGUAGAUUGUUUAGGAUUUUCUACAUCGAUGAUCAUGUUGAGUGCAUAUAAAGGCAAUUUUAUGUCUUAUUUCCAAUCUGCAUGCCUUUCACUUCUUUUCCUGGCUUUAUUUCAGUGGCCAGAACCUCUAGCACAGUGUUAAUAAGAGUGAUGAGAGUGACAUUCUGACUUUGUUUCCAGUCUUUCUGCUUCGAUCAUUAUCAUAUUCUUUCUUUUCCUUACUUUGAAUUUAUUGUGCUCUUCCUUUUCUAGGCUUUUAAGGGUAGAAGCUUAGAUUACUGAUUGGAGAACUUUCUUCUUUUCACAUAUAUACAUUUAAUGCUAUAAAUGUUCUUCCAAGCACUGCCUUGCCAGCACCUACAAAUUGUCAUAUGUAUUUUCUUUUUUGCUCAAUUAAUUUUUUUUCUAAUUUCUCUUUGGAUUUUUUGAUCUAUCAGUCAUUUUAAAAUAUGUUCUUUAACUUCCAAAUAUUUGAAGAGACAUACUAUUAAUUUCUGGCUUAAUUCUGUUGUGGCCACAUAUUUCGCAUAACUUCACUUUUUAAAAUUUGUUGAGAUCUGUUUUACGGCCUGGAAUAUGGUCUAUCUUGGUGAAUGCUCCAUGUGCAUUUGUAAAAAAGUGUGAGCCACCGCGCCUGGCCAGAAUGGCACUUUCAGGAUCAUAUAAUGUAUCUAUUCAUCUCUGGUAAUAUUCCUUGUUCGGAUAUCUAUUUUAUCUGAUACUAACAUCUCCGCCCCAGCUUUCUUUUAAUAGUUCAGAAUAUAACUAUUUCUGUCCCUUACCUUCAAUCCACUUAUGUUUUUAUGUUAUUUUUUUUUUCUUUUGUAGACAGCAUAGAGUUGGAUCUUGUUUUUAUAUCUACCCAACCUAAAAAUCUGGAUAUUUUUAUUGGGAAGUUGAAUUUAAAUCUACCACCUUGACAUUUAUUUUGUAUUUGUCUCGUCUGUUCUUUUUAAAUAAUUUUUCCGUUUUUCUUCCUUCUAUUGGAUCAAGUACUUUUUUUUAAAGUGAAAGCCAAUUUAUUAAGAAAGUGAAGGAAUAAAAGAAUGGCUACUCCAUAGGCAGAGCUGCUGAGUAUUUUUUAUUAUUUCAUUUUAUCUUCACUAUUGCCUUGUUAUACCUCUUAGUGUAGCUGUUCAUGGUUGCAGUAGGGCUUAUGAUAAAGUUACAGCUGUAGCUUCUCAGUCUGCCAUUACACAAUAUUCUACCACUUCACAUACAUGUAGUAACCUGACAGCAAGGCCUGUACUUCCUCCCUCCCAUACUUGGUACUGUUGUUACCACAGAUUUGCUUCUGCAUGUUACAAACCCCACAAUACACUUUUCCCGUCUUUGCUUCAGGUAGUCAAUUAUCUUUCUGUCUUUGGAUAUCUUUUUAAAGAUAUAAUCCACAUACAUAAAAUGCACCCAUUUGAAGCAUGCAGUUCCAGAGACCAGAGGUUCUCAAACUCUGUAUGGGAAUCACACAGGUUCCUGGUAAAAGGCAGACUUCCAGGCCCCUGCUGGAGUUUCUGACUCAGCAGGUCUGGGUGGGGCCUGAGAAUCUGAAUUUAUAGCAAGUUCACAGGUGAACAUUUGUGUGGCUAUCAAGGGACACCUGGGGCCGGGCAACUUCUAAAGAAAAGUGGUUUCUUUGGCUCACAGUUCUGCAGGCUGUACAAGAAGCCUGGCAACAGAAUCUGCUUCUGGUGGGGCCUCCGGCUGCUCCUGCUUAGGGUGGAGGGUGAAGGGGAGCCAUGUGUGCAGAGGGCACAGUGGGAGAGGAAGCCAAAGGGAGGGAGGGGCCACGCUCUUUUAACACCUGGCUCACGCAGGAACUAAUUGAGCAAGGGCUCGUUCAUGACUGCCAGGUGGGGUCGGCAGGAAGCCAUUCCUGAGGGACCUGACCCUUGACCCAAACCCCCGCCCGUAGGCCUCACUCCAACACUGGGGAUACAUUUCAACAUGAGAUGUGGAGGGGACACACGUCCAAACCACAGCACCAGGCAAUGCUUACACUGCGGGUCUGGGGCCCACUCCGAGAAUGACUGCUCCGGACAAAAUUACACACACGGACCACGCACCCACCCACAGGAUCACACGCCCGUCUUCGGGUUGGGGGUGCAGGGAGGACGGGUAGAGAUGUGUUGGGGUGCAAAGGAAAAGUCCUCAUGGCCCACAUAUGUGCUCUGACCCAGUGGCUCUGCAGAAACCCAUGAAAGAGGAUCCUGAAAGAGCAAGGGCGGCCUCCAGGUGAAGGUGGUGGGCGGCCUCCAGGUGAAGGCGGCCUCCAGGUGAAGGUGGUCAGCACCCUCCCUUUGGCCAAGAGGAGACUGCAGUUUCAACUCAAAGAUUAUUCCUGAAUGAUGCAGCAAGCUUAAACUUCCUUAAAAACAAACCUCUGGGAAGAGGAAAACGAGGCAAGAUGCUGAGAAAAAGUCAUCUCCCACUCUGCCCUUCUCUGGCAAAUCGAAGUGUCCUCUUGUGGGAGGCGGUGGGCAGCGACACUCCUGUUGGACGUCAGUGCUCUCGGGAUGGGCCCGGCCACCCCGGAGCAGAACUCACUUAGGGCCUGGUGCCCCUGUGCCCAGUUCUCAGAACGUCGGAGUGCUCAGUUCUCAGAACGCCGGAGUGCCCCAUUCAUAACCUGCAGCCCCGUUCAUAGCCUGCAGCUCCCCUCCUUCCUCUCCUCCCGGUCGUCAGGGAGCACCCCCAGCUCCCCUCCCCACUCUCAAACCCUCCUCCUCCCUCCCCUCUCUCAUUUCCCUGUUUGCAGGAUCUCCUCCUGCCCACUCUCCAGCCCAGGUCCUCCCCUCUCAUCUCCAAUUCUGCUUCAUGGGCCAUGACAGCAGGCAGGCCAUGGCCUGCUCUCAGCAGUUUGAUCGAUGGACUAAGGAGAUCACUCCUAUGAGAGUGAAAAAGUCAAAUGUGCCUGAGAUUCGGAUGGGGAGCUCUCAAAGCUACGGAUUGCAAGAGUCAACACCGCCUCAAAAGUACAAGGCCGGCCGGGUGCAGUGGCUCACACCUGUAAUCCCAGCACUUUGGGAGACUGAGGCGGGUGGAUCACCUGAGGUCAGGAGCUCAAGACCAGCCUGACCAACAUGGUGAAAUCCCGUCUCUAUUAAAAAUACAAAAAAGAUUAGCCGGGUGUGGUGGUGCAUGCUUGUAGUCCCAGCUACUCGGGAGGCUGAGGCAGGGGGAGCACUUGAACCCGGGAGGUGGAGGUUGCAGUGAGCCGAGAUUGCACCAUUGCACUCCAGCCUGGGCAACAGAGUGAGACCCUGCCUCAAAAAAAUAAAAAAAUAAAAGUACGAGGCCCGGUUUAAAUGCAGGAGGAAUCUGGUGAGCGAGUUUCACUCUGAUGCAACAGAAAAGCCAAGCCAAGCCUUGGCUGUGCCUGGUCUUGGCCGGGGAGCCACAGGCAGGGUCUGCUGGUUUCGGUGUCAGGGGCACAUCCCCAGGACCACGUCUGAGAUGGGAAGUGCCUUGAUGGAAAACUGAUACCUUUUUCUUUCCGAGUAACUUUAGAACAUGUCGCUUCAAAUAUAACUAAUAUCCUGAUUUCAGUGGACUUGCAUGGAAGGAAACGCAAGUUCAUUUGCCAGUGGGGGGUGAGGACUGGGAGAGUGGGGAGCAGGGUGGGGAAGAGGGGAGCAUUCCACAAGCCGCAAGAGCCUGGACACCUCCAGCCUUCAAUAAAUAGCAUUUGAAUUUGCUGUGCCUAAUUCAACCUUGCAUUUGCGUAGUGAAAGUCAGGCCCGCGGUGUGUAUAGUUUGGCACAUGAGUUCAGCUCGGGUCCCCUUGAUCUGCUUCUGUGUUCUCACUCUCUCCCUGCCCGGCACGCCCCUCUUUUUCUAUCCAGAUGAGCGAAGGGGUGAAUUAGUCCAGAAAUGUUUCUGCUCCAGUCAAACAAACAUUAUCACCUGUCAGUCAAACAUUAUCACCUGUCAGUCACCAGAGACGUGCACGGGUGCCUUCUCCUUUGCCUCGAGGUUUCUAUGACCUGGGAAAAGCCCAUCCCAUUCCCGGAUGAGGCUUCCCUGCCACGGGUCACAGACACACGAGCUACGCCCCACCUUGCCAAAACUUUCAAGGUGGGAUGGAAGAAUCUGUCGUUUCUGCAUUUACGAUCCCGUACGUGUUCCGUGCUGCAUCUGUUCUGGUUGGGUUGUCUCUCCUCUCAAGGCCUCUUUUGACCCAAACUUACUGCAAAGCAGAUGAGUGAGCCAGAAGCUGCGCUGGGCGUUGGGGGUUGUGGCA